rnacentral:rRNA from 1 species
UACGGAGGGGGCUAGCGUUGUACGGAAUGACUGGGCGUAAAGCGCGCGUAGGCGGGCUGGAAAGUCAGGGGUGAAAUCCCGGGGCUCAACCUCGGAAUUGCCUUUGAAACUCCCAGCCUUGAGUUCGAGAGAGGUGAGUGGAAUUCCGAGUGUAGAGGUGAAAUUCGUAGAUAUUCGCAAGAACACCAGUGGCGAAGGCGGCUCACUGGCCCGGUACUGACGCUGAGGUGCGAAAGCGUGGGGAGCAAACAGG